UUGGGCAACAUGGGGAAACCCAGUCUUUACACACACACACACCUGGGCAACAUGGCGAAACCCAGUCUCUACACACACAAACACACACACACACACACACACCUGGGCAACAUGGUGAAACCCAGUCCCUAUAAACACACACAUGCACACACCUGGGCAACAUGGUGAAACCCAGCCCCUACACACACACACACACACACACACACACACACACACACCUGGGCAACAUGGCGAAACCCACUCUCUCUACACACACACACAUAUGCACACACACACACUAGCUGGGUGUGGUGGCGCACAUCUGUGGUCCCAGCUACUCAAGAGGCUGAGGUGGAAGGAUCACUUGAGCCCAGGAGUUUGAGUUGCAGUAAACCGAGAUUGUGCCAUUGCACUCCAGCCUGAGAGACAGAGCGAGACUCUGUCUCAAAAAAAAAAAAAAAAAAAAAAUAGUUUAUGUCCUUAAAUAAAAAUUCACAGGCUCUAGAUUAGAUUAGAAGAUACAGCUUGGAUCAAAAGGGCUCUUUUGGAUACUUUAAUUUACUCGUGUGCCCUGCCAUGUGGAUGAGAAGUGAUUACAUGUGGGAAUUCAUAGUGUUAUCUUUUUAUAGCAUUCAUUUAAAAAGGUUGGAUUUAUGUAGGCCUUUUCCUUUUGUUCUUUAUUGCAGAUAUUCAAGAGAAGCUUAUGUGGAGUUAGUUCACCAUGUUAGAGAAUCUAUUCCAGGUGUGAGCCUCAGCAGCGACUUCAUUGCUGGCUUUUGUGGUGAGACGGAGGAAGAUCACAUUCAGACAGUCUCUUUGCUCCGGGAAGUUCAGUACAACAUGGGCUUCCUCUUUGCCUACAGCAUGAGACAGAAGACACGGGCAUAUCAUAGGCUGAAGGACGAUGUUCCGAAAGAGGUAAAAUUAAGACGUUUGGAGGAACUUAUCACUGUCUUCCGAGAAGAAGCAACAAAAGCCAAUCAGACCUCUGUGGGCUGUACCCAGUUGGUGCUAGUGGAAGGGCUCAGUAAACGCUCUGCCACUGACCUGUGUGGCAGGAAUGAUGGAAACCUUAAGGUGAUCUUCCCUGAUGCAGAGAUGGAGGAUGUCAAUAACCCUGGGCUCAGGGUCAGAGCCCAGCCUGGGGACUACGUGCUGGUGAAGGUGAGGAGUCCUUUUGGGCUUUUGGCUUGCACUGUGAAAUGAGUGUUGGUUUGGAUAUUUGUGGUAAUAAAGUUUUUUCCUAGAGACACAUUUUAGUAAAAUAAAAAUCUCCUCUCAACCAGUACAAUGGAAUGGCACUUUGGAUUGGAUUUUAGACUGCUCCUUACUAAUGCCUUCUUAUUCUUCUUACCUAUUCUUCUGCCCUGGAAGGUUCUUUGUGGGAAUUCGGUGAGUUUGGAGCAUGCAGUGGCAUGUAGUUUCUUGCUGCAGAGAGGCUAGGAGGUGUAAGUGAUUUCGAGUAAGUAGAGAGUGUUCCCUGUCAGAGAUCAACAUUUUCUUUGUGAUCUCUGAUGGCUCAGGCCUCUCUAACUUACACGUGCUCAAAUUUCUUGGGUCUUUUCCCUGGACUCACAGAUCAGCUAUAUGGCUGUGGGAUUUUCCCUCCCUUUCUUUCUCCCUUUCACUGGCGAUAUGCUUCUCUUAUUCUCUCCUUCCAUUUCUUCCUUUCUUCUGCCUUCUCUUCUCACGCUGCCCAGUUCUGCUACUGCCACCUUCCCUGUCUUGUUCUCAUGUCUACUUCGCCUCAGAACCAGAAGCUGGCAGGACACAGACUGAUGCCCUAGAGCAUCCACAGAAGUUCCUUUAAGGGCAGGGAAAAUGCCUGUUUUGUUUCUGUUUGUUUAUUUUUGUUUAUCUUCUAGCACUUAGGGCAAUUCCGGGUACAAAAUAUGUACUUAGUAAGUAUUUACUAAUGGACCGACUUGUUCUUAUGGUAAGAAAUGUGACCACAGAUAAUUCUGGGGUCACAUUCUUUCAGCUCUCAAUUGGAGGAGAGAGAACAUUUCUCACCAAAUGUUGGCUGUAAAUAUCCUAAGGAAGGAUUUGACUGGCUCAGCCUUGGAGUUAGGAGGGCAGAGCCUGUGAUGGGCAGUUUCACCUGAAUUUUAUGGUUAGAGCUGAGGAGGAGCCAUCUUCCAAGAGAAAAGGGAGAAGUGGCUGGGACUGACCUGCUUUGACUUCUUAAAUUGUAUCCAUUGCCAUUCCAUGAGACCUCGCUUCCUGCCAGGAUCUGGGGCACACAGGAUCCAUGUGGUCUCUGCCAGCCGGUCGCCUCCAUCAGAUUCCUUUUGGGGGCUUCUCCUCUAGAGGCUCCACGUGAAGUCCCAGUGCUACAGUCCUAGUUACUUUGCCCUCUUCUGCCUGGUUUCUUUCAGAUCACCUCGGCCAGCUCUCAGACACUUAGGGGACAUGUUCUCUGCAGGACCACUCUGAGGGACUCCUCUGCAUAUUGCUGACCUGAGAAGAUGGCCUCAGAGCUGACUUGGGCAGUCCUCCCCAACAGGAAGGGGAGACAUUGCUGGCCACUGAGGAAAGAGGUCAUGAAGGUGGAGAUAAGAUGCAAGGGGCGAAGCAACUUUAUGUCAGUGGAAAACGUGUCUCUUUAAAGCUGCUAUGUGAACAGCUUUUACAGUCAUUAAAUUUACCUAAACUAAAGUU
rnacentral:sRNA from 1 species